rnacentral:sRNA from 1 species
GCCCCAAAAGCUAAAAACAUAUAUAAAAACCUCUCUUUCCUUUCAUCUUCAAUAUCAGGUUCGGUUUCUAUAUGUGUUAUCGUCCCUGGAUUUGUUAACUUCAGAAGAUGCAAAUAUUCAGCCAAAUUGCUAUAAGACUCUUCAUCACUCCCGCCAACAU